rnacentral:rRNA from 1 species
ACAGGUGCUGCAUGGCUGUCGUCAGCUCGUGUCGUGAGAUGUUGGGUUAAGGUCCGUAACGAGCGUAACCCUUGUCCUUAGUUACCAGCACGUUAUGGUGGGCACUCUAAGGAGACUGCCGGUGACAAACCGGAGGAAGAUGGGGAGUGACGUCAAGUCAUCAUGGCCCUUACGGCCUGGGCUACACACGUGCUACAAUGGUCGGUACAAAGGGUUGCCAAGCCGCGAGGUGGAGCUAAUCCCAUAAAACCGAUCGUAGUCCGGAUCGCAGUCUGCAACUCGACUGCGUGAAGUCGGAAUCGCUAGUAAUCGUGAAUCAGAAUGUCACGGUGAAUACGUCCCCGGGUCUU